UACGUAUGGUGCAAGCGUUAAUCGGAAUUACUGGGCGUAAAGCGUGCGCAGGCGGCUUUGCAAGACGGAUGUGAAAUCCCCGGGCUUAACCUGGGAACUGCAUUUGUGACUGCAUGGCUGGAGUGCGGCAGAGGGGGAUGGAAUUCCGCGUGUAGCAGUGAAAUGCGUAGAUAUGCGGAGGAACACCGAUGGCGAAGGCAAUCCCCUGGGCCUGCACUGACGCUCAUGCACGAAAGCGUGGGGAGCAAACAGG
rnacentral:rRNA from 1 species